CCUACGGGUGGCUGCAGUGGGGAAUAUUGGACAAUGGGCGAAAGCCUGAUCCAGCCAUGCCGCGUGUGUGAAGAAGGCCUUCGGGUUGUAAAGCACUUUCAGUGGGGAAGAAAGCCUUGGGGCUAAUACCCUCGAGGAAGGACAUCACCCACAGAAGAAGCACCGGCUAACUCCGUGCCAGCAGCCGCGGUAAUACGGAGGGUGCGAGCGUUAAUCGGAAUUACUGGGCGUAAAGCGCGCGUAGGCGGUCUGAUAAGCCGGUUGUGAAAGCCCCGGGCUCAACCUGGGAACGGCAUCCGGAACUGUCAGGCUAGAGUGCAGUAGAGGAAGGUAGAAUUCCCGGUGUAGCGGUGAAAUGCGUAGAGAUCGGGAGGAAUACCAGUGGCGAAGGCGGCCUUCUGGACUGACACUGACGCUGAGGUGCGAAAGCGUGGGUAGCAAACAGGAUUAGAUACCCUAGUAGUC
rnacentral:rRNA from 1 species